CAUGGCUCAGAUUGAACGCUGGCGGCAUGCCUUACACAUGCAAGUCGAACGGCAGCACGGGAGCUUGCUCCUGGUGGCGAGUGGCGAACGGGUGAGUAAUACAUCGGAACGUACCCUGAAGUGGGGGAUAACGUAGCGAACGUUACGCUAAUACCGCAUAUUCUGUGAGCAGGAAAGAGGGGGAUCGCAAGACCUCUUGCUUUAGGAGCGGCCGAUGUCGGAUUAGCUAGUUGGUGAGGUAAAGGCUCACCAAGGCGACGAUCCGUAGCGGGGUCUGAGAGGAUGAUCCGCCACACUGGGACUGAGACACGGCCCAGACUCCUACGGGAGGCAGCAGUGGGGAAUUUUGGACAAUGGGCGCAAGCCUGAUCCAGCCAUGCCGCGUGAGUGAAGAAGGCCUUCGGGUUGUAAAGCUCUUUCGGUGGGGAAGAAAUGGCACGGGUUAAUACCCUGUGUUGAUGACGGUACCCGCAUAAGAAGCACCGGCUAACUACGUG
rnacentral:rRNA from 1 species